CCCCAGUGGAUCCCACAGGAUCUACCGGUCAGAACAGCUCAACCUCACACCUGGCUCGUGUGGCCAUGGCUUCAACAUGUCGCUGGUUCAUGGAGACGCCCAGAACAGCCACAACCAAUCAGACAGCCCCUUCGGAGCCUUCAGCACCAGGCAGAGGAGACAUACCCAGAGCACCACCAAGUAUGUGGAGCUGAUCAUCGUAGCUGACAACAGAGAGUUCCAGAAACAAGGGAAGGAUGUGGAGAAGGUCAAACAGAGGCUGGCUGAGAUCGCCAAUUACGUGGACAAG